GACGAACGCUGGCGGCGUGCCUAAUACAUGCAAGUUGAGCGCUGAAGGUUGGUACUUGUACCGACUGGAUGAGCAGCGAACGGGUGAGUAACGCGUGGGGAAUCUGCCUUUGAGCGGGGGACAACAUUUGGAAACGAAUGCUAAUACCGCAUAAAAACUUUAAACACAAGUUUUAAGUUUGAAAGAUGCAAUUGCAUCACUCAAAGAUGAUCCCGCGUUGUAUUAGCUAGUUGGUGAGGUAAAGGCUCACCAAGGCGAUGAUACAUAGCCGACCUGAGGGGGUGAUCGGCCACAUUGGGACUGAGACAAGGCCCAAACUCCUACGGGAGGCAGCAGUAGGGAAUCUUCGGCAAUGGACGAAAGUCUGACCGAGCAACGCCGCGUGAGUGAAGAAGGUUUUCGGAUCGUAAAACUCUGUUGGUAGAGAAGAACGUUGGUGAGAGUGGAAAGCUCAUCAAGUGACGGUAACUACCCAGAAAGGGACGGCUAACUACGUG
rnacentral:rRNA from 1 species